UUCUGGCUCAGGAUGAACGCUGGCGGCGUGCCUAACACAUGCAAGUCGAGCGAUUCUCUUCGGAGAAGAGCGGCGGACGGGUGAGUAACGCGUGGGUGACCUGCCCUAUACACACGGAUAACGUACCGAAAGGUACGCUAAUACGAGAUAAUAUGCUUUAGUCGCAUGGCUGAAGUAUCAAAGCUCCGGCGGUAUAGGAUGGACCCGCGUCUGAUUAGCUAGUUGGUAAGGUAAUGGCUUACCAAGGCGACGAUCAGUAGCCGACCUGAGAGGGUGAUCGGCCACAUUGGAACUGAGACACGGUCCAAACUCCUACGGGAGGCAGCAGUGGGGAAUAUUGCACAAUGGGCGAAAGCCUGAUGCCAGCAACGCCGCGUGAGCGAUGAAGGCCUUCGGGUCGUAAAGCUCUGUCCUCAAGGAAGAUAAUGACGGUACUUGAGGAGGAAGCCCCGGCUAACUACGUGCCAGCCGCCGC
rnacentral:rRNA from 1 species